AGUGAACGCUGGCGGUAGGCCUAACACAUGCAAGUCGAACGGCAGCACAGUAAGAGCUUGCUCUUACGGGUGGCGAGUGGCGGACGGGUGAGGAAUACAUCGGAAUCUACUUUUUCGUGGGGGAUAACGUAGGGAAACUUACGCUAAUACCGCAUACGACCUACGGGUGAAAGCAGGGGAUCUUCGGACCUUGCGCGAUUGAAUGAGCCGAUGUCGGAUUAGCUAGUUGGCGGGGUAAAGGCCCACCAAGGCGACGAUCCGUAGCUGGUCUGAGAGGAUGAUCAGCCACACUGGAACUGAGACACGGUCCAGACUCCUACGGGAGGCAGCAGUGGGGAAUAUUGGACAAUGGGCGCAAGCCUGAUCCAGCCAUACCGCGUGGGUGAAGAGGGCCUUCGGGUUGUAAAGCCCUUUUAUUGGGAAAGAAAAGCAGCAGGUUAAUACCCCGCUGUUCUGACGGUACCCAAAGAAUAAGCACCGGCUAACUUCGUG
rnacentral:rRNA from 1 species